CUACGGGUGGCAGCAGUGGGGAAUAUUGCACAAUGGAGGAAACUCUGAUGCAGCAACGCCGCGUGGAGGAUGACACUUUUCGGAGCGUAAACUCCUUUUAUAUAGGAAGAAGAUGACGGUACUAUAUGAAUAAGCGCCGGCUAACUCCGUGCCAGCAGCCGCGGUAAUACGGAGGGCGCAAGCGUUACUCGGAAUCACUGGGCGUAAAGAGCGUGUAGGCGGAUUAAAAAGUCAGAAGUGAAAUCCUAUAGCUUAACUAUAGAACUGCUUCUGAAACUCUUGAUCUAGAAUAUGGGAGAGGUAGAUGGAAUUUCUGGUGUAGGGGUAAAAUCCGUAGAGAUCAGAAGGAAUGCCGAUUGCGAAGGCGAUCUACUAGAACAUUAUUGACGCUGAGACGCGAAAGCGUGGGGAGCAAACAGGAUUAGAUACCCCCGUAGUC
rnacentral:rRNA from 1 species